UUCAUCGCGCCCCUGACCUAGCGGAGGAGAACGUCAUCGUCGCGCGCCUAAUAAGAGAGAAGGGUCGUGGGGCUGCUGCAUGCAGAAAUAACGUUCGGUAAAGAGAGAUUGGAGAAGAAAGAGAGGCGACGUUGCUGAUGGAGGUUCUGGCAUCGACGAUGUUACAGUUGGCGAAGAAAAAGGUUGAGACGGGUUUGCAGAGGAUCUGGUAGUUUUUUAUGGUUGAUGGCUGGUUUGUAUAAGGUAGGGUAAACAGUUUUAGAUUUGGUUUAAAUUUUGUUUUUGGAUUAGUGAUGGCUGGAUGUAAAUUGGUGUUUGAUGUGGCUGGUUGAUUAAUUUGGUAUGUAGUUGUGUUUGACUGAAAUGGAUUUAGAAUUGAAUGAAUGAAUCUGAAAGUUUUGUUGGUUUA